rnacentral:rRNA from 1 species
CACGUAGGGGGCGAGCGUUGUCCGGAAUUAUUGGGCGUAAAGAGCUCGUAGGCGGUGUGUCGCGUCGGUCGUGAAAACUUUCAGCUUAACUGGGAGCUUGCGGUCGAUACGGGCAUCACUGGAGUUCGGCAGGGGAGACUGGAAUUCCUGGUGUAGCGGUGAAAUGCGCAGAUAUCAGGAGGAACACCGGUGGCGAAGGCGGGUCUCUGGGCCGAUACUGACGCUGAGGAGCGAAAGCGUGGGGAGCGAACAGG